CGUAGGGGCGAGCGUUAUCCGGAUUUAUUGGGGCGUAAAGCGCGCGCAGGCGGUCAGGUAAGUCGGAUGUGAAAGGCUACGGCUCAACCGUAGAGCGGCAUCCGAAACUGUUUGACUUGAGUGCAGGAGAGGAGAGUGGAAUUCCCGGUGUAGCGGUGGAAUGCGUAGAGAUCGGGAGGAACACCAGUGGCGAAGGCGACUCUCUGGACUGUAACUGACGCUGAGGCGCGAAAGCGUGGGGGAGCAAACAGGAUU
rnacentral:rRNA from 1 species